AUGUCACGAUGAGGGCACUUUCGUAAUAACUCAUUGAACCACUCCCAUGCCUCAUAUAAAGAUUUUCAUUAAAUUGUUGAAAUGAUGUGAUUUCAUUUUGGAGUUU
rfam:Gossypium raimondii Chr11_contig_919, whole genome shotgun sequence.